GACAGAGGCCUCGAGCGUUAGGCGGAAUCACUGGGCUUAAAGCGUGUGUAGGCGGGCCCGUAAGGACCUUGUGAAAUCCCACGGCUCAACCGUGGAACGGCUGGGUAUACUGCGGGUCUUGGGCCAACUAGGGGCAGCCGGAACAAGCGGUGGAGCGGUGAAAUGCGUAGAUAUCGCUUGGAACGCCGAAGGUGAAAACAGGCUGCUGGGGUUGCGCCGACGCUGAGACACGAAAGCCAGGGGAGCAAACGGG
rnacentral:rRNA from 1 species